rnacentral:tRNA from 1 species
AAGGAUGUAGCUCAGUGGUAGAGAGCAUGCUUAACACAUGCAAGGCCCUGGGUUUGAUCCCCAGCUCUUUCA